UCCGCGGCAUGUGGGAUCUUCCCGGACCGGGGCACGAACCCGUGUCCCCUGCAUCGGCAGGCGGACUCUCAACCACUGCGCCACCAGGAAAGCCCAAGAAUUUCUUAUUUCUAACAAAGAUCUGGAUCCAGUGACUCCAUGAAUUCAAGGACCACACUGAAGUUAGGGGAUUAUGUACGAUGGGAACACAUAAUUCCAGCUGCCCUGUUCCCCGUGAAGAAACAGAAUACCCUGCUGCCAUUUCUCAUUCUGCUUUUCCGAGUCAAAAAGCUUUGAAACAUCUUUCCAAGAAGUUGAAUCAAAGCCAGCAAUAUAUCAGGACGGGGGUCAACUCUCCACUCAACAUUUGGUGAGGCUGCUGGGGUUUAUACUGCCACACGUGCAUCAAGAGGGUAUGAAAAAUGUACUUACUGCUCACGUAAUGACACUUUCUGGGAAGAGUAGUGCAAGCUCCCAGGCAGAACCUCUCCUGGUUGGAGAGAACAAGGAAAGGCAGCUGGCUUUACCUGUCCUUGUGGUUUUGAGGUAAGACGUGGACGAGCGAUCCCAGAUGAGGGUCAGAGUCUGUGUGCUUGAACUUUCCCAGGUGCCGAAGCAGGAAGCGCAUGGCCUUCUCAUCAGCUUAACUCUCUGGGGACAAGAAAAGGGCAGGCUGACAUUUGGAAGCUGUGAGCACUGAAAUGUCAAAACAUCUCAGUGAACUCUUCGUACUCAAUUGUGUUUAUAUUCAUUGAUCUUGCACUUUGGAUCUCUUUCUCAUGCAUGAUUUGGACAUGAGAAGAAUUCUCUGGGCUAUGCAGAUUUUCCAAAUAUUGAUCCACUUUAUUAUAUAAUGCACAUUUCAAUUUAAUACCGUUACUUAUCCUGCCAUAAAUGUCUUUAAAAAUUGAGUUGUCAAGCUCAUCAUAGCAGACAUAAAUUUUCCAAGAUUCUCACUUUAGCGUAAAAGUUAAGCUUGAAAUUUAUUAUGACUGCCAGUCUUAUCUGUUAUUUUUUUGGUGCAACAGCUCGUUUUGUUCAUUAUGAACAAAUGUCCAUUUUGUUCAUUAUGAAAAUGUCCCCCAAAUUUCAUAGUCUGAAGGACCGUAGCUCGUCAGUCGUUCCUUCAAGUGAAAACGAUGUGCCACAUCGAAAGUGGCUACUGCAGCUUUCUUGAAAUACAAUCAUAGUGAAAAUGUCAAAUAACACGUUAGUACUUUAUGAAAAUAAUUUUGACUUUGUGAACCUCCCUAAAAAGAUAACGGGGACCCCUAGGGGUCUGCAACCACACUUUGAAAACUGCUGACCUAAAGGCAAUGUAAGAGUUGGCCUCGAUAUUAAUGGGGAAAGGACGUCUCAGGAGGGAAAACCACACGCAGAAGAAGGUCCUAGGCCAACAGCACGCCUCGUGUGUGGGUAGAAUAGCUUGGAACUGAAUGUGUCAACAGGCAGAGUAGGUGAUGGCCAAGGAUGGCCCGGGCGUGGGUCGCUGGCAGACAGAAAUCUCUCAGGGCCACAGAGGGUUUUCCUUGGCGUAUUCUGGGACGUCUCUGGGGAGUUUGGAGCAGGGGAGUGAUUGAUCUGCAAGUUGCACAAGUAUUAUGUUGGUUCUUGUGUGAAGAGCAAAGAGUGAGUAUCUACUGAGAUGGAGUACGCCAAAGUCAGAAGCAGAAGGACCAACCAGAAAGCGACUGGAAAAAUCCAGGUGAGAGAUGAUGACAGCUUAGGCACAGGUGGUAGCAGUGAGUGGGUGAGAGAUUGGAAUCUGGGCAUAUUUGAAGGUAAAACAAAUAUUUAUUGAUGAACUGGCUGUGCAGUGUUAUUGCAUUAAAAUGGGGAAAUAUCAAGAGUUUGGCUUGGAAUAUUUGAAAUACCUACCGAACAACCAAGCAGAAAUACCAAGAGGUAAUUCAAUGUACUAAUGAAGUUCAAGGUGGAAUCUGAGCUGGAAAUGGUGAGGGUUCACAAGUUAUUUAAAAAUAUUGUUUAGCUACUCUGGUCACAUAUAACGACUUGCAGAAUGUAUUAAGAAAGCAGAGUCUCUGCCCUAAUAUAUUAAGAAUGUCAGGUAAAUGACUACCAUUCAUUAAACACCCAGUAUAUGCAGGGUCUGUGCCAGUUCUGUCCAUACGUUGUUUAAUUGCUUCUUGCCAGUCUAAAAGCCCAGCCACAGACGGAGCGCCGAGACUCGGGAAAACGGUGUGCCUCCUCCAGGACCCUGUAAGUCACACGGGACAGGACCAAGACUUGAAGUAAAAUUAGACACACACUCAAUGUUUGUAAAUAAUAUACUCAGCGGAGAUUUACAUCUAAUGUCUUUUUCCAGUUUCUCAGCAAUAGAGCAUAGAAAAAGUAUUGGGUCACGGGGAAAAUUCUUUUCCCUAAAUACCAACAAGAUGAGAAUGCCUUCCAAGCAAAGCUAUUGUGAUUAGUACUGAAAACAGUGGCGUGUCUAAUUCAACGCUAAACAACAUCUGAACCAAAAAUACAUAUUACCUUUGUCAACUAGGAAUUAAACAUAGGCCUGAGAAUCUUGAGCUCAAUUCACUCUGUUGGUAUUCCCAGGGACAAUCUCGUGAACAUUGAAAUAAACCAUAGUGACUUAAACUAUAAAAUAACCCAGCAGCAAAAAGCAGUGAGUGUGUCUGAGUUACUUGGUAAGUGUUUUUUCGUUGUUCCUCAAUUUAGAAAAAAUUAUGUCAGUGUUUCUCUCCUUUCGUAUUUAAGGUUUAGCCUAUCAGUGGAGGAAAGGAAUCCAUAGGGCUUGUCAUUCGCCUGCCGCGUAAAUCUGACGUCUUUCCAGCCCCUUGAGUCGCCUGCAGCAAACUCACAGGGGUGCUCACGAGUAAAGGCCGGGGCUCAUCAUGUCCUAGUCACACUCAGCAUCUCCUUCCCCUCAGACGUGCCCCAACCCACGUCGGGGCCGAAUGUCAGCGACGAAGACGUCUGCACAGAACUCCAGGCAGAUUGGGCUGCAAAGAGCCUGAACAAGCCUGAAUUUAUUGCAGAUCUCGGACGUCUGCUGGGCCUACCUUGUGGGCCAGCGUGAUUACAAUUACAGAAGUCACUGAGUAUCUAUUCACCAGUUUCUACUGGGUAUGCAUUUUGUUCUUGCUGGAGAUCCCUGAAAUGAGCCGGGGGGCUGCUGCACCUCAGAUUCAUCUAGGGAACAAAACCAGCACACAGGAAUGCUGAUGUCCACUUAGGACAAAAUCUUCUGCUGUUCUCUUCAUGAUACCUUCAGGUUGACUCGGGGCUAACUCACUGCUUUGUGACUUUAUGUUAUAGUUCUGGGGGUUCAGUAAAAUCCAUUGUAGAUACUCUCUCUUUAUACAUAUCUUCAUCUCUGUCUGUGUCUGUAUUCAAGUAUAUAUAUUAAUUUAUAUAUAAAAAAAGAAACAGGCACUGUCUUGUUUUUGGGGGGUUUCUUUUCCACCAUGGAAUUCCCUGCACCUAGAACAGUAGCGAUUACGUAGAAAGCAUUUUGGAAAUAUUUUUUAAUGAAUGAAAGUUUGAGUAAUGGAAAAAGACAUACUUUAGGGCUAACUGUAUAAAUUAGACCUGAUGAAUAAACUAUAUUUGAGGAAAGAA